rnacentral:rRNA from 1 species
UACGUAGGUGGCAAGCGUUGUCCGGAAUUAUUGGGCGUAAAGCGCGCGCAGGCGGUCUUUUAAGUUGGGUGUGAAAGCCCUCGGCUCAACCGAGGAGGGUCACUCAAAACUGGGAGACUGGAGUGCAGAAGAGGAGAGUGGAAUUCCAUGUGUAGCGGUGAAAUGCGUAGAUAUAUGGAGGAACACCAGUGGCGAAGGCGGCUCUCUGGUCUGUAACUGACGCUGAGGCGCGAAAGCGUGGGGAGCAAACAGG